GAUGAACGCUAGCGGCAGGCCUAAUACAUGCAAGUCGAGGGGCAGCAGGAAUAGCAAUAUUCGCUGGCGACCGGCGCACGGGUGCGUAACACGUAUACAAUCUGCCUUUAACUGGGGGAUAGCCCGGAGAAAUCCGGAUUAAUACCCCAUAAUAAUUUGACUGGCAUCAGUUAGAUUUGAAAGCUCCGGCGGUUAGAGAUGAGUAUGCGACUGAUUAGCUAGUUGGUGAGGUAACGGCUCACCAAGGCGACGAUCAGUAGGGGAUCUGAGAGGA
rnacentral:rRNA from 1 species